AAGUUAUUUCAUUGAGGUGCAAUCCUGCAGGGGAGAAGCUUAAGAUGAAAUAUAAGAACAUUGUUCAAACAGAUUGUGAUGGUGUUAUCUGCCUGGUGGAGCCCCUUCACACCACAACAGAGCUUGUAACUGUAAGUAGACAAUACUCCAGAGAUUUAGCCAAAUGGUAGUUUAAGUCCACUGAAACAUAUCAGUCAUUUAGGAUGAAGAGGAUGAAACUGUGUCUGCUGCCUUUACAGAGGGGGAUCCAGAAAGGCAUCUAGAGAGCAUGGCUGGACAACAGCAGGAUGCUUCCUCAACUUCCACUGCACAGACUGACACAGUGAGAUGGAUGUUCAGUAAACACCAGAGGUUCAGUCCAUGGAAUUCAUGUGCAACUGUAUAAUUUAAUGUCCUUUAUGUAUUCCCAGUUACCAGUAAAACAAAUAUACAAAAUCCACUUGCUGAGAAAAAUACAAAAAACAGAUAAAGAAAUACAGUACUUGGACCACCAGAUUAGGAGGGCAGAUCUGGAAAUUGAAAUACUGGAGCACAAGUUAGAGGUGGAUGCAGGUCACAGGUGAAUUAUGUUAACUACUGGAACAUGAACUAAACUAGCUCUUUUAUUUGUAGGAAAUAAAGAAGACCAAAU
ensembl:lncRNA